ACAGACUAGUCUGCCUUCUGAUGGCUUGGCUUGAUGUUACUGUGAUUUUAUCAGCUUGUAGUCAUUAUUAAAAGCACUCGAAAGGAAGUCAAGCUGGGGAAGAGCCUCCUUGGGUACGCAGAACAAAGUCACAGUGCCCACGGGAAGGCAGUGCCGUGUGAUGAGGAGCUGCGCCAGGGCUGGAGAAAGCCUGAGUCCUGCUGCAUCCCGAAGGAAGCAGAGAUGAUGGGCUUGUGUGACUUCAAGCAUAAGAAACAACUGCUUCUGAAAGGAAAUUUCUUUUGCAAUGCCUCCAAAAGUGACAUCCAUUGAAAAAGUCUCACCUCUCUAAGCAGGCACUGUACAUAUUCAACUGAAGAGAGCCUUACAGAUUUGUUCCUGCUAAGAAGCUAGUGACGUUACCACAGUGUUGCUCCGUCAGCGGGCAGUGGCACAUAGCAGGCAUGGACCCAGGCAUGCAGUACAGCCAGCACACAGCCCUGCCGAGAGCCCACCAUGCACAUCUCUGCCUUGCUUCACCACUUUGGCCCAAGCUCCUGAGCCAAUGUCUCUGUCCCACAUUCAGCUCCAAGCAUUCUGAAGAUGAAUAAAUGGAGGUGUGGAGCCUCCUGUGCAUGGAGCUAGAAUCAGACCCAGCUACGAGUCCAUGGACCACCCAGUAGAAAAGGAGACGGCCUGGAGCUGCUGGCUGUCCCCAGGGCUCUCCUGUGGCUACCAGCUCCCAAUGCCAAAGGACUGGAGGGCAACCAACGCCCUCCUGUAAAUGGUUGAGCGCUAAUAAGUGGAGCAGCUCUUCAGAAGCAUUUUGUUUUUACCACCAGGACACAUUAUUUCAUCCUUCUUUUUUCCCCCUCAACAUUCAUAUUUUCCCUUUGACUCCUGUUAUUUUGGUUCCAUUCAACAAAUACAUUCUUGUGUUUUUU
rnacentral:lncRNA from 7 species